rnacentral:rRNA from 1 species
CAGAGGGUGCGAGCGUUAAUCGGAAUUACUGGGCGUAAAGCGCGCGUAGGCGGCUUUGCAAGUCGGGUGUGAAAUCCCCAGGCUUAACCUGGGAACUGCACUCGAGACUGCAUUGCUAGAGUAUGGGAGAGGGAAGUGGAAUUUCCGGUGUAGCGGUGAAAUGCGUAGAUAUCGGAAGGAACAUCAGUGGCGAAAGCGACUUCCUGGACCAAUACUGACGCUCAUGUGCGAAAGCGUGGGGAGCAAACAGGAUUAGAUACCCUGGUAGUCCACGCCAUAAACGAUGACAACUGGAUGUCGGGAGGGUCUGCCUCUCGGUGUCGUAGCUAACGCGUUAAGUUGUCCGCCUGGGGAGUACGGCCGCAAGGUUG